rnacentral:rRNA from 1 species
UACGUAGGGUGCAAGCGUUAAUCGGAAUUACUGGGCGUAAAGCGUGCGCAGGCGGUUGUGCAAGACCGAUGUGAAAUCCCCGGGCUUAACCUGGGAAUGGCAUUGGUGACUGUACGGCUAGAGUGUGUCAGAGGGGGGUAGAAUUCCACGUGUAGCAGUGAAAUGCGUAGAGAUGUGGAGGAAUACCGAUGGCGAAGGCAGCCCUCUGGGAUGACACUGACGCUCAUGCACGAAAGCGUGGGGAGCAAACAGG